rnacentral:rRNA from 1 species
UACAGGGGGUGCAAACGUUGCUCGGAAUUAUUGGGCGUAAAGCGCGCGUAGGCGGUCGCUUAAGUCGGAUGUGAAAGCCCUUGGCUCAACCGAGGAAGUGCACCCGAAACUGAGUGGCUUGAGUACGAAAGAGGGUCGCGGAAUUCCCGGUGUAGAGGUGAAAUUCGUAGAUAUUGGGAAGAACACCGGUGGCGAAGGCGGCUAUCUGGACCGUAACUGACGCUGAGGCGCGAAAGCGUGGGGAGCAAACAGG